CGCCUCUUGGUGUUUUGUGGUGAGCUCAGCCGAAGGGACAAGGAGAAAAAACUUAAGGGUUGAUAUAUGGGCAGGGAGAUCACUCAUCAGCGACUGCCUUGGACAAAGAAACUCAAUCUGGGGAAGAUUAAUUUAUUCUCAAUUAAAAAGAGAAUAGGAUGGUCUUCAUGCAGUUCAUUGGCAUCAACGAGACCUGGCUAGAAACCUCCACUAAGAAUGAGGUAUUAAGCAGAUUUUGCCAAUCUUCAGAUAUUAAGGAUCUUGAAGACUGAGGAGAAGGACAGCUAAAGAAAAUGUUUAAAAAUGAAGUACACCAGCCAAACAUCCAUCAUCUCACACUGCAGAGAACUGCUUCCUGACUGGCUUCUUUUCUGUGCUCACAUCUUGAAAACUUUGUAGAAGCUGAAAGAAAUGUCAGUAUUAGAAAAUAGGGUAAUGCUGCAUCAUGCCUCACAUGUUGUCACUCUGACCUGCACAUACAAUCUGCGUGCCACAAUCUGGGCCACAAUCUGGGCUUCUGGAGUUGCCAGCACUGAGCAAGGCUGUGGCCAGAGAUGUUUUCCUGUCCUCUCCACAGUCUGAUUCACCUUCCCAGAGCACAAAAACACAGCAGGUACACAGAUGGCCACACCAGUGGACCAGGACUGCACUUUGCUGCUGGGUCACACACACCCUCACUGUCAUAAUUCAUUCCCACACUCACAGCAGUGGGUCUCUCAAUCCCUAGAGCUGACCCUCAUUCUUUCCAGCUUCUGUGGCCAUAUCAGAUGGCUGUAUGCUGUGUUCCUCUUCAUCCAAUCUCCAGCUCCAAAUUUGAGUACUUCCUUUGGUCUCCUCCUCCAUGCUAGCUAGUCCAGAUUGAAUUUUGCCAGCAAAUCACAUACAUGUGCACAGAGUAUCCAUUCUGAAAAAAAUAUACUUUAUACUUGAAAUAGCUUUGUAUAUGAUUAACCAGAUGUCCUCAUGAAGCAGAUGUCCUUGCAUCCUGCUUACCCUCACAUUCCAUAUAUCCUUACACAGCGUACAUCUCUGUGCUGACAACCUUCAGUUCAACAGUGGUAUUCUUCCACU